GGCGAACGCUGGCGGCGUGCUUAACACAUGCAAGUCGAACGGAAAGGCCCUGCUUGCAGGGUACUCGAGUGGCGAACGGGUGAGUAACACGUGGGUGAUCUGCCCUGCACUUCGGGAUAAGCCUGGGAAACUGGGUCUAAUACCGGAUAGGAGCCAUUUUUAGUGUGAUGGUUGGAAAGUUUUUUCGGUGUAGGAUGAGCUCGCGGCCUAUCAGCUUGUUGGUGGGGUAAUGGCCUACCAAGGCGGCGACGGGUAGCCGGCCUGAGAGGGUGGACGGCCACAUUGGGACUGAGAUACGGCCCAGACUCCUACGGGAGGCAGCAGUGGGGAAUAUUGCACAAUGGGCGCAAGCCUGAUGCAGCGACGCCGCGUGGGGGAUGACGGCCUUCGGGUUGGAAACUCCUUUCGCUAGGGACGAAGCUUUUUGUGACGGUACCUAGAUAAGAAGCACCGGCUAACUACGUG
rnacentral:rRNA from 1 species